GAUGAACGCUAGCGGCAGGCUUAAUACAUGCAAGUUGAGGGGCAGCAUGAUAUACGCGAGUAUAUUGAUGGCGACCGGCGGACGGGUGAGUAAUAGGUAGGAGACCUACCUCAUACAGGGGGAUAGCAUAGAGAAAUCUGUGGUAAUACCCCAUGAGGUUAUAUGAAUAGAGGCAUAUAAUCAAAGCAUAAGCGAUUAUGCGGUAUGAGAGGGGCCUACUGACCAUUAGCUAGUUGGUGAGGUAAGGGCUCACCAAGGCGAAGAUGGUUAGGGGUUUUGAGAGAGAGACCCCCCACAUUGGAACUGAGAGACGGUCCAGACUCCUACGGGAGGCAGCAGUAGGGAAUAUUGGGCAAUGGGCGAAAGCCUGACCCAGCCAUGCCGCGUGAAGGAAGACGGCCUUAUGGGUUGUAAACUUCUUACUACGCGAAUAGAGGUUAGUACGAGAUACUAAUAGGAAGUAGUGUAGUAAAAGCACCGGCUAACUCCGUG
rnacentral:rRNA from 1 species